rnacentral:rRNA from 1 species
GACGAACGCUGGCGGCGUGCCUAAUACAUGCAAGUAGAACGCACAGGAUGCACCGUAGUUUACUACACCGUAUUCUGUGAGUUGCGAACGGGUGAGUAACGCGUAGGUAACCUGCCUGGUAGCGGGGGAUAACUAUUGGAAACGAUAGCUAAUACCGUAUAAGAACAUUUACUGCAUGGUAGAUGUUUAAAAGGUGCAAGAGCAUCACUACCAGAUGGACCUGCGUUGUAUUAGCUAGUUGGUGAGGUAACGGCUCACCAAGGCAACGAUACAUAGCCGACCUGAGAGGGUGAUCGGCCACACUGGGACUGAGACACGGCCCAGACUCCUACGGGAGGCAGCAGUAGGGAAUCUUCGGCAAUGGGGGGAACCCUGACCGAGCAACGCCGCGUGAGUGAAGAAGGUUUUCGGAUCGUAAAGCUCUGUUGUUAAGGAAGAACGUGUGUGAGAGUGGAAAGUUCACACAGUGACGGUACUUAACCAGAAAGGGACGGCUAACUACGUGCCAGCAGCCGCGGUAAUACGUAGGUCCCGAGCGUUGUCCGGAUUUAUUGGGCGUAAAGCGAGCGCAGGCGGUUAGAUAAGUCUGAAGUGAAAGGCAGUGGCUCAACCAUUGUAGGCUUUGGAAACUGUUUAACUUGAGUGCAGAAGGGGAGAGUGGAACUCCAUGUGUAGCGGUGAAAUGCGUAGAUAUAUGGAGGAACACCGGUGGCGAAAGCGGCUCUCUGGUCUGUAACUGACGCUGAGGCUCGAAAGCGUGGGGAGCGAACAGG